rnacentral:rRNA from 1 species
CGGUACAGAGGUGCUUGCACCUCUUGAGAGCGGCGGACGGGUGAGUAAAGCCUAGGAAUCUGCCUGGUAGUGGGGGAUAACGCUCGGAAACGGACGCUAAUACCGCAUACGUCCUACGGGAGAAAGCAGGGGACCUUCGGGCCUUGCGCUAUCAGAUGAGCCUAGGUCGGAUUAGCUAGUUGGUGAGGUAAUGGCUCACCAAGGCGACGAUCCGUAACUGGUCUGAGAGGAUGAUCAGUCACACUGGAACUGAGACACGGUCCAGACUCCUACGGGAGGCAGCAGUGGGGAAUAUUGGACAAUGGGCGAAAGCCUGAUCCAGCCAUGCCGCGUGUGUGAAGAAGGUCUUCGGAUUGUAAAGCACUUUAAGUUGGGAGGAAGGGCAUUAACCUAAUACGUUAGUGUUUUGACGUUACCGACAGAAUAAGCACCGGCUAACUCUGUGCCAGCAGCCGCGGUAAUACAGAGGGUGCAAGCGUUAAUCGGAAUUACUGGGCGUAAAGCGCGCGUAGGUGGUUCGUUAAGUUGGAUGUGAAAUCCCCGGGCUCAACCUGGGAACUGCAUUCAAAACUGUCGAGCUAGAGUAUGGUAGAGGGUGGUGGAAUUUCCUGUGUAGCGGUGAAAUGCGUAGAUAUAGGAAGGAACACCAGUGGCGAAGGCGACCACCUGGACUGAUACUGAC